rnacentral:rRNA from 1 species
GACGAACGCUGGCGGCGUGCUUAACACAUGCAAGUCGAACGGAAAGGCCCUGCUUUUGUGGGGUGCUCGAGUGGCGAACGGGUGAGUAACACGUGAGUAACCUGCCCUUGACUUUGGGAUAACUUCAGGAAACUGGGGCUAAUACCGGAUAGGAGCUCCUGCUGCAUGGUGGGGGUUGGAAAGUUUCGGCGGUUGGGGAUGGACUCGCGGCUUAUCAGCUUGUUGGUGGGGUAGUGGCUUACCAAGGCUUUGACGGGUAGCCGGCCUGAGAGGGUGACCGGCAACAUGGGGACUGAGAUACGGCCCAGCCCCCUAGGGGGGGCAGCAGGGGGGAAUUUGGCACAAUGGGCGGAAGCCUGAUGCAGAAACGCCGCGGGGGGGAGGACGGCCUUGGGGUUGUAAACCGCUUUCGCCUGUGACGAAGGGGGAGUGACGGGAAGGGGUAAAGAAGCACCGGCUAACUACGU